GGUUGAUUGGUCAACUGGUUGUUAUGGCCCAUAGGCCCUCCCAGGGUGGUUGCUAUGCUCUCUACAUCAUUGCUGUGCGCUUGUCCGUAAAGCACACCCAGGGUCGUAAAGCAUAGCGCCACCAGCUAACUUCUGAUUGGUUCCUUGUCACGAGAUAGGCAUCUGACUUUCUAGUGUCUGGGACAAGGUCAUAGAAGCACAUGUUCGGCUGUUAUGGUUGCCAAAAGGGAAGCUGGUUCCUUCACCAUGAUGGAGUGACCCUCUAAAACUGCCCUCAAUUUAUGGUGCUGUUGUCACACAACGCUGAAGUGACCAGUGACCAUUUCUCAGGCCAAGAGUGUACCAUCCUUUCAACGCCUGGAUACAACCAUACAUACAGGAAUCGAAUUAUCUCGGGACUUAAUAAAUUACACAAACCAACCCAGGUGGUGGUGGCCCUCGCCUUAAAUCCCAGCACUCGGGAGGCAGAGAAUUUUAAAAUGGACUUGAAUGGAAGCUUGGAGACGAUUUCAUUUGAGUUUAGAAACAAAGCCUGGAAGGAGGAAAAGAGGAAGAGAGAAAGCCCAAAUGCUUCAGAGAAAGAGGGUCCUUCAGCACGAUUGGGAUCCACAUCGCCACCCGAGGCUGAAGUACCUUCCUGGGGCGCCUCUGAAGUUUGAAGGCCAGCCGCUCUCCCGGCAGCCUCAGUUAGCAGCUCUUCCAAGCGAGAGAGCAAGCGCUCUAACAGCGGAGACUGACAAGAACAACCCUGGAAAUCACCUUGUGUGACCGGCUCAGCAUAAAUAACCAAGUGUGGCCGUCAUGUUGACAUCUCCAGUCUGGUCUCUCCUCUCUCACCCUGUUCCCUGCAGCUACCUUGCCGGUUUGGUCUGCCUUCUCCCUCUUGGCAGGGGAAUUUUGCAGAUGCUAUUCCUUCUCCUAUAUACUGUUCCUUGUCUUCCUUCCUUCCUUCCUUCCUUCCUUCCUUCCUUCCUUCCUUCCUUCCUUCCUCCCUCCCUCCCUCCCUCCCUCCCUCUCUCUCUCUCUCUCUCUCUCUCUCUCUCUCUCUCUCUUUCUACUUUUUAGAGACAGAGUAUAGCAAUUUGGGCCAGACUUGUGAUCCUCCUGCCUUAGCAGUUCAAGCAUUGGAAUGACAGAUGUAUGUCACUACUCCUGCAUUCCCCUGAAUCCUGUUGUCAUGUGUGUACAUGUGUGUGUGAGGGGUCUGUAACUGUGUGUUCAUGUGGGUAUGUUCGCACACAUGUGGGAGACAGAGAUCAAUGUCAGAUGUCUUGUUCAAUCAUUCUACACAUUUUCAUAAAGGAUUUAUUUAUUUCAUGUUAAAUAUUAUACUUACGUAUGUAUGUAUGCAUGUAUGUACGUAUGUAUGUGAGUAUUUGUCUGUGCACCACAAGCACGCAGAUGCCCGUGGAGGCCAGAAGAGGGCGCCAGUUCCCCUGGAGCUGGAGUUACAGGUGGCUAUGCAUCUCCAAAUGUGGGGGCUGGGAACCCAACUCCAAUCCUUUGAAAGAGCAGCCAGUAUUUGUCUUAGUGUGAAUUUCCAUUGCUUUGAUGGAACACCACGAAUAACCAAAAAGCAAGUUGGGGAGGGAAAGGUGUAGUCCAUCACUGAGGAAGUCAGGACAGGAACUGAAGCAGGGCAGGAACCUGGAGGCAGGAGCUGAUGCAGACGCCAUGGAGGGGAGCUGCUCACUGGCUGGCUCAGCCUGCUUCCUUCCUUCCUUUGCUCCUUCCUUCCUUCCUUCCUUCCUUUCUUUCUUUUUCUAUCUAUCUAUCUAUCUUUCUUUUUUUUUUUUUUUUUGGUUUUUUGGUUUUUCGAGACAGGGUUUCUCCGUGUAGCUUUGGAGGCUGUCCUGGCACUCGCUCUGUAGACCAUACUCGCUUCAAACUCACAGAGAUCCACCUGCCUCUGCCUCCCGAGUGCUGGGAUUAAAGACAUGCGCCACCACCACCUGGCUCAGCCUGCUUUCUUAUAGAACCC
ensembl:lncRNA